UUUUUUUUUUUUUUAAAAAAAAGGAAAAGAAAAUAAUGUUUAGGUUUUAAAUGGUACUUGGCGUUGCUGAGUCCGCAUAUGUAUGUAUAAUGGAACAUCCUUACUCGUCAUCCUUGAUAAAAUGGGGUUGAAUAUGUUUGUUCAUGGAGAAAAUUGUGA
rnacentral:ribozyme from 14 species